UAAAGGGCAACAUUUGAACCAUAACACAACGCUUAAAAACAGUGUUUAUUCAUUUCUGUUUUACCAGUCAACUACAGUAACCUUUCAGAUAAGGAUAGUAAAUUAUUCAAUAGUCCCUUAACCCCUUUGUUUUCAUGUUAAAUAAUGAAAGUUUAGAUUGAAAUUUAAAGAUUUUAUCAAGAAAAUUUACUUUUUCAGACAAAUUAAAUUUAACUAGUCAUCUUGAGUAUAAAUUGUUACUUUGUAUAAUGUUUAAAACAAGUAAUUUGAUUGAAUUUCAAUUAAUUUUACAUUUUUUGCUCAAUGAAUAGUACUUGCUGUGUACAUAAGCUAUUUCAAGUCACUAACAUCUGGUAGGUUAAUGUACCUUCAUUAUUUGAUUGAAUUAUUAUUAAUGUACAGAUUGUGAAAAUGAGAAAAAUUGGAAAUAUCCAACCAAAAGAAUUUAAGGGUCUUGAUGACUUGGCGUUGGAUCAAAAUAUCUGAAUACCGAUUCCCGAAGACGAAGGAUAGACAUCUAUUCAAGACUUACAAUUCAAUGAGUAUCACAAUAACCCUAAACUUGAUAGGAUUUGAAUGGAGACUUAACCAGGAGACAUUAAAAUGGAUUUUCUGUAUCAUCAUCCUUUCAACUGUGAUUUGACAUGAUCAUCGAAAGUCUGCCGGGAUAAAGUACAAAUGAAAGGACAAAUUUUUAAAAUUCCGUUGGUUUUACUGAUGACAAUGGGAAGAGAGGAAGAGCAUGAAGAUAAUUCAGUAGCUUAAAAAUAAUUGACACAACCAGAAAUAAUGGUUGGUUAGGACCACAUGUUAAUCGCUUUUCAACACACAUGCUACCAACUGGACGUGAAAUGGACGGACACCAAAUGGAUUUGAUUGAUGAAAAUUGAUUAAUUCAGCCAAAUGACAGAGACACACUUAUACUGACAGCAAAAGCCAAGCAAUUUAAAUUAUAUUGCUGGGAAGGAAUUGAUUUUCAAUUGUAUCAAAGUAACAACACACUGAAAACCAACAGUUAAAGGCAGUUGAAGGAAACCAUUAUAAUGUAGCCAGUUUUAUUUGGCGUGAGAUUGAAACACACAUUCAUAGACACAUCCACAUGAAGGGACACAAUAAACCUUUAACAGUUUUUACAUCCUCAUCUUAAUAAUAAUAAUGAAGAGAAGAUAAUGUUUGAUAUUGAUGAAGAAGAAGAUGAUGUUGAUGAUGAUGAUCCUUAUUUUAUUAUAUUGUUCACCAGAGUGAAGCCAAAAGCCAAUAUGAACAAAAGAGUGUCUCUUUUUUUUUGUUCAUAAUAAGGUCAAUAUCAAAACCAAUGAGGAUUGUCAAUCUCAUUUUCUCAUCUUCUUUCUCAUCCCAUUCUUGAUCAUCUCUUUCCUUUCUUCUUUCCUCUCCCAUGUACAGUAAUAUAUUCAAAUGUAAUUGUUACCAUUUUAGGCCAUUAGUAUCUAAAAAGCUGUAUCUUUUAACUCCUCAGGAGACACAAUAAACAAAUAAUAAACAAAAAGGCAAAUGAAUAUAAAUAAA